UCGCAACGCUAAGGAUAGAUUGGAAAUUCACAGAGAUACAGACGGAGUACGUAUUAAAAAUUUUCAAUAAAGUUUUGAGGUGCAGGAGUGGCUGUAUGGUAAGAAGCUUGCUUCCCAACCACAUGGUUCCGGGUUCAGUCCCGCUGCGUGGCACCUUGGGCAAGUGUCUCCUACUAUAGCUUUGAGCAGACCAAAAUCUUUUGAGUGGAUUUGAUCGAUGGAAACUGAAAGCCCAUCAUAUAUAUGUAUAUAUAUGUAUAUGUAUGUAUUUAUAUGUGUGUUUGUGUCUGUUAGUUCCCGCCUCCAUCGCUUGACAACCAAUGUUGGUAUGUUUACAUCCCCGUAACUUAUCAGUUCGGCAGGAGUGUUCGAUGGAGUAAGUAUCAGGCUUACAAAGAAUAAGUCCAGGAGUCGAUUUCUUCGACAAAAAAAAAGCAGUGCUCCAGCAUGGCCACAGUCAAAUGACUGAAACAAGUAAAAGAAUAAAAGAACAAAAGAAUAAUUCA